CUACGUGCCAGCAGCCGCGGUAAUACGUAGGGUGCGAGCGUUAAUCGGAAUUACUGGGCGUAAAGCGAGCGCAGACGGUUACCUAAGCAGGAUGUGAAAUCCCCGGGCUCAACCUGGGAACUGCGUUCUGAACUGGGUGACUAGAGUGUGUCAGAGGGAGGUAGAAUUCCACGUGUAGCAGUGAAAUGCGUAGAGAUGUGGAGGAAUACCGAUGGCGAAGGCAGCCUCCUGGGAUAACACUGACGUUCAUGCUCGAAAGCGUGGGUAGCAAACAGGAUUAGAUACCCUGGUAGUCCACGCCCUAAACGAUGUCAAUUAGCUGUUGGGCAACUUGAUUGCUUAAUAGCGUAGCUAACGCGUGAAAUUGACCGCCUGGGGAGUACGGUCGCAAGAUUAAAACUCAAAGGAAUUGACGGGGACCCGCACAAGCGGUGGAUGAUGUGGAUUAAUUCGAUGCAACGCGAAGAACCUUACCUGGUCUUGACAU
rnacentral:rRNA from 1 species